AAUAAACGCUGGCGGCGUGCCUAACACAUGCAAGUCGAACGAGAAAGCCGGAUUUCGGUCUGGCGAGUAAAGUGGCGCACGGGUGAGUAACGCGUAGGUAACCUGCCCCUGUGUUCGGGAUAACAGUGCGAAAGCGCUGCUAAUACCGAAUAUGUUCAAGAGGCGAAGGUCUCUUGGUCAAAGUUGGCCUCUCACAGAAGCUGACGCACGGGGAUGGGCCUGCGUCGUGUAAGCUAGUUGGUAGGGUAACGGCCUACCAAGGCUGCGACGGGUAGCUGGUCUGAGAGGAUGAUCAGCCACACUGGCCCUGAAACACGGGCCAGACUCCUACGGGAGGCAGCAGUGAGGAAUUUUGCGCAAUGGCCGCAAGGCUGACGCAGCAACGCCGCGUGGGUGAAGAAGGCCUUCGGGUCGUAAAGCCCUGUCAGGUGGGAAGAAUGUCCCCUGGAAUAAUACUUUGGGGGAGUGACGGUACCACCAGAGGAAGCACCGGCUAACUCCGUGCCAGCCGCCGCGGUAA
rnacentral:rRNA from 1 species